UUUCCGUAGGUGAACCUGCGGAAGGAUCAUUAUUGUAUAACCGAGGUGCGAGGGCUGUCGCUGACCCGAAAGGUCGUGCACGCCCGAGUGCCCUCACACACAUCCAUCUCACUCCUAUGUGCACCACCGCGUGGGCACCCUUCGGGAUCAUCUCGGAGGGGGGCUCGCGUUUUCACACAAACCCCCCUUUUAAAAGUGUAGAAUGACCACAUUUAUGCGAUCAAUACAACUUUCAACAACGGAUCUCUUGGCUCUC
rnacentral:misc_RNA from 1 species